ACCCUAUGCGGUGGAUCACUAGGCUCGCGAGUCGAUGAAGAGCGCAGCAAAGUGCGUGAAUUAAUGUGAUUUGCAGGACACAUUGAUCAUCGAUAUCUUGAACGCAUAUUGCGGUUACGGUUCGCUUCCGUGACCACGCCUGUCUGAGGGUCGGUUUACAUAUGUUUA
rnacentral:rRNA from 1 species